rnacentral:rRNA from 1 species
UACGUAGGGGGCAAGCGUUGUCCGGAUUUAUUGGGCGUAAAGAGCGUGUAGGCGGCCGUACAGGUCAGCUGUGAAAACUCGAGGCUCAACCUCGAGACGUCGAUUGAAACCGUACGGCUAGAGUCCGGAAGAGGAGAGUGGAAUUCCCGGUGUAGCGGUGAAAUGCGCAGAUAUCGGGAAGAACACCCGUGGCGAAGGCGGCUCUCUGGGACGGUACUGACGCUGAGACGCGAAAGCGUGGGGAGCGAACAGG